rnacentral:lncRNA from 1 species
ACCAAACAGCAAGGUGCCUGUGCAUUGUUACGGAGCAAUAAAACAUAUGCAUACAUGAAUUGAAUAUGCCUUCCUAUUUCACAAUUCCUUACAAAUUGAACAUCGUGAGUCCAAAAUUAAAACAAACAAAACCGGUAACUGAGAUGUGAUAAUAAUCCACAAGGGACAUGUCCAUAAUGCUUAACAAGCUACAUAUCUUCAACAAUUUGCUUAGAUGAUAUAAAGCGAUCUUCAUACUAUAAUGUUGCUCCUAAAUUUGAUUGAUAAUCCUGAAUUUUAGCCCUACCUUCUUCCUCAUUGAUUUAACCUGCUCAUUCUCAAAAUCAGACAAAGGAUAGUUGAAUGUAAAUGACUGAAACCAAGUUACAAGAAGACGAACAAAUUUAAAAUGCUCAGUUGCGUUCAGGUUGUAGCAUUCAACCUAAGCAAUGAUGCCAGCACGCGAAGCAAUCAAGUUGCUGAUCUAGAAAAGAAGUGAAAAGUUAACCUUUCAUGCCCCUGAUCUAGCAUGCAAAAUUGUUGCACAGGGGUCACCACCGGUAGCCAGAAGAAUUAUGUCAGCAGCCUCAUCAUCGUACUGCUCAUACAUGAGAUGUGAAAAGGUAUAGAAAUCCACAAAUUCUACUAAAAAAUCUGCAAGCACAAGCUUUUACAUGGCCAGUUACUCACUUGGAGGAAGACUGCACGAGCGAAGUCAAUGCCAAAAGAGAUGAUCACCUUGUACAGGUCCCUCUGCAACUAACUAAAAAUCUUGGAAAUAUCAUUUUUACCAGAAUUCUCAUGUACAACAGGAAGUCUCUAGUUCUUACCAGAAGGAACAUAACUGCCUUUUCAUUUCCCACUCAUGAUCGCAUAGCAGACACAGGCUCAACCAAGCUUUCUGAAAACUGCAGGAAGGAUGAGCAUAAUCAGCAAUUUCAGUCAGGCGAGCACAAAUGUAUACUUCAGUAGUAAACCACUGCCAAGAAAACAUAAUAAAUGCAUCAACCACAACCGAAUUUUGUAUUCACCAUUUUCUAUCUUCAAUUUUAAAAGAGAAUUCAUUGCCACAAUGGGAUGGGGCAUGCUUUCCUUUAACACUAUCUGACACUGCCGUACGAGAUUCUUUGGUACUAUAUAUUAAAAGACCAAUCUUAAAAUAAUAUAUGCAAAUAAAAAAGAACAAAACUAUGCAACAUGAUGUUCAAACUUCUGAACAAUAACAUUUACCAGUUCAUUUGGUCCAGAGGCCCCUCAACCAAAUGAAAACAAACAAAAUAAAUAAUUUGCACAGUGUCGUGUUCGGGAAACAUCGAGCAUGGACUCAUGUCGAGGAAAAUUAAAAGAUUGGGGGCGCAGUGGGUGAACUGAGUCGAGGAAGAUGGAUGAAUUCGACCACGUUGGUAUCCGGAGGGAACUGACCACGGGAUCUCCUGCCCUGUGUCUGUGCAGUAUAUUAAACUGGAAAAUAGAAAGAAGUAAACCAAAUGCUGCAACUGUACGUAUUUAAUAGAGUUUGUGGAAGUGUAGUUAAAAGUAGACAGCUCGCAAACUGAGCUGUACAGCUAGCUAGCCUGAAACUCAAACACUGUAUCAUCCAUCAACAACAUUAUGAAAAGAUUAAUUAAAGAUGUAAAGGGCAUAUUUGUGCACAUACCACCAACGCAGAAUCAACCAUUAGACCUCACUAUAUACCAUCCAGAUAAAUGAC